GCGCGGAUCCCUNCUAAUUACGGCCAGCCGUUUUNUGACUUCUGUGCUUGCACUACAAUGAUUNUUGGCGAACGGGUGAGUAACACGUGAGUAACCUGCCCUUGACUUCGGGAUAAGCCUGGNUNACCGGGUCUAAUACCGGAUACGACCUCCUGGCGCAUGCCAUGGGGGUGGAAAGCUUUAUGCGGUUUUGGAUGGACUCGCGGCCUAUCAGCUUGUUGGUUGGGGUAAUGGCCCACCAAGGCGACGACGGGUAGCCGGCCUGAGAGGGUGACCGGCCACACUGGGACUGAGACACGGCCCAGACUCCUACGGGAGGCAGCAGUGGGGAAUAUUGCACAAUGGGCGGAAGCCUGAUGCAGCGACGCCGCGUGAGGGAUGACGGCCUUCGGGUUGUAAACCUCUUUCAGCAGGGAAGAAGCGAAAGUGACGGUACCUGCAGAAGAAGCGCCGGCUAACUACGUGCCAGCAGCCGCGGUAAUACGUAGGGCGCAAGCGUUAUCCGGAAUUAUUGGGCGUAAAGAGCUCGUAGGCGGUUUGUCGCGUCUGCUGUGAAAGCCCGGGGCUCACCCCGGGUCUGCAGUGGGUACGGGCAGACUAGAGUGCAGUAGGGGAGACUGGAAUUCCUGGUGUAGCGGUGAAAUGCGCAAAUAUCAGGAGGAACACCGAUGGCGAAGGCCGGNNCUCUGGGGCCUGUNACUGNCGCUGAGGAGCGAAAGCUUGGGGGAGCGAACAGGGAUAAGANCCCNUGGUAGUCCAUGCCNANAACNUUGGGCCANUAGGUGNGGGGGAACUUCCCCU
rnacentral:rRNA from 1 species